rnacentral:ncRNA from 1 species
UCGGCUCUUCCUAUCCUAGUGAUGUACAAGUUGCUAAGGGUCGGAUUGUUCACCCGUAUUAGGGAUCGUGAGCUGGGUUUAGACCGUCGUGAGCCAGGUUUGUUUUAUCCUACUGGAUAUAGCAUCAUGAUAGUAGAUUGAUUUAGUACGAGAGGAACUGUUGAUUAUGGCCUCUGGUUAGCGAUUAUCGGAAACGGUAUGUCGCGCAGCUACGCCGUCUGGGAUAAUGGCUGAAAGCCUCUUAAGCCAGAAGCCCAUCUAGAAAGUGAUGCACGUGAUGUUGGACCGAUACGAAUAAUCAUACUCAAAAGGUCCGCUUCAUAGGUAACCCAAUGUAGAAGACAUUGUGUGAACGAAGGUACUGUAAGCAGUGGAGUGGCAUUACGUCCACGACCUGUUGAGGUUCAGCUUCGCUUCUAGGUUUCC